GUUCAUCUUCCUCCUCCUCGAAAUCUUCUCCGCCUUCUGAGCUAUCCUCUCCACUCCAUACUUCUGGCUUCACCGCUUGAAGCUGCCAUAAGCGCCAGCACUUCCCUCUAAGCCACCAAACACUUGCACAUAAUCAUAACCGCAGUUCGUCUCAGGCUCCAACUCAAAGGUAAGGAAGUGUUCGCCCCUCUACAUGAGUGUACAAGAAAGGCAGCUGCUAUAGAAGAGUGGCGACGGAUAGUCAAGCGUGCCAAAACACUAAAAUGACGACCACGACGAAGAG